rnacentral:rRNA from 1 species
GACGAACGCUGGCGGCGUGCUUAUCACAUGCAAGUCGAACGGUAAGGCCCUUCGGGGUACACGAGUGGCGAACGGGUGAGUAACACGUGGGUGAUCUGCCCUGCACUUCGGGAUAAGCCUGGGAAACUGGGUCUAAUACCGGAUAGGACAACUGCCUGCAUGGGUGGUGGUGGAAAGCUUUUGCGGUGUGGGAUGGGCCCGCGGCCUAUCAGCUUGUUGGUGGGGUGAUGGCCUACCAAGGCGACGACGGGUAGCCGGCCUGAGAGGGUGACCGGCCACACUGGGACUGAGAUACGGCCCAGACUCCUACGGGAGGCAGCAGUGGGGAAUAUUGCACAAUGGGCGCAAGCCUGAUGCAGCGACGCCGCGUGAGGGAUGACGGCCUUCGGGUUGUAAACCUCUUUCAGCACCGACGAAGCGCAAGUGACGGUAGGUGCAGAAGAAGGACCGGCCAACUACGUGCCAGCAGCCGCCGCCG